AUAUAUUCAAGAUGGAGGAGAGCGACAGGUCCUCCCCAUCAACACCAGAAAUAUUGUCAUAUUCUGCUGACGAAGAGCCUUUAGAGCUUGCAAAGAAAGCUGGAAAGGUAAAAGGGAUUUAUUGCUUAAUGCAUUACACUCAUAGAUUUAAGUUAUCUAGGCAAAAAACCGUAGCCCCACAGCCUGCACAGGACGCAAAAUUGGCGAACUUUUUUUUUUACGACUGGACACAAUUACGAACGAUUUCCAAUGUUUGCCCUCUGAGAUCAUAUUUAUUUCAGAGUUCGCGAAAUCUUUUUC
rnacentral:lncRNA from 1 species